rnacentral:rRNA from 1 species
GAUGAACGCUAGCGGCAGGCUUAAUACAUGCAAGUCGUGGGGCAGCAUGAGUAGCAAUACUUGAUGGCGACCGGCAAACGGGUGAGGAACACGUACACAACCUUCCUUCAAGCGGGGAAUAGCCCAGAGAAAUUUGGAUUAAUACCCCAUAAUAUAUUUGAUAAGGCAUCUUAUUAAUAUUAAAGCUUCGGCACUUGAUGAUGGGUGUGCGGCUGAUUAGAUAGUUGGCGGGUAACGGCCCACCAAGUCUACGAUCAGUAGCUGAUGUGAGAGCAUGAUCAGCCACACGGGCACUGAGACACGGGCCCGACUCCUACGGGAGGCAGCAGUAAGGAAUAUUGGACAAUGGACGAAAGUCUGAUCCAGCCAUGCCGCGUGAAGGAUUAA